rnacentral:rRNA from 1 species
AAGACCUUGCACUUUUGGAGCGGCCGAUGUCUGAUUAGCUAGUUGGUGGGGUAAUGGCCUACCAAAGCUUCGAUCAGUAGCUGGUCUGAGAGGACGGCCAGCCACACUGGGACUGAGACACGGCCCAGACUCCUACGGGAGGCAGCAGUGGGGAAUUUUGGACAAUGGGCGCAAGCCUGAUCCAGCCAUGCCGCGUGAGUGAAGAAGGCCUUCGGGUUGUAAAGCUCUUUCAGCCGGGAAGAAAAGGUUGCGACUAAUAAUCGCAAUCCAUGACGGUACCGAAAGAAGAAGCACCGGCUAACUACGUGCCAGCAGCCGCGGUAAUACGUAGGGUGCGAGCGUUAAUCGGAAUUACUGGGCGUAAAGGGUGCGCAGGCGGUUUUGUAAGUCAGAUGUGAAAUCCCCGGGCUUAGCCUGGGAACU